rnacentral:rRNA from 1 species
UAAACAUUGAUACCCUAUUACAUCCACUAUCCGCCUGGGAACUACAAGCACUAGCUUAAAACCCAAAGGACUUGGCGGUGCUUAAGAUCCCCCUAGAGGAGCCUGUUCUAGAACCGAUAAUCCCCGUUUAACCUCACCCUCUCUUGUUUUUCCCGCCUAUAUACCGCCGUCGUCAGCUCACCCUAUGAAGGCCCAAUAGUAAGCAAAAAUGGCACAGCCCAAAACGUCAGGUCGAGGUGUAGCAUAUGAGAGGGGAAGAAAUGGGCUACAUUCUCUAAAAAUAGAAGAACACGGAUAAUAUAUUGAAACAUAUAUUUUAAGGAGGAUUUAGCAGUAAGAGGAAAUUAGAAUGUUCCACUGAAUCCAGCUCUAAAGCGUGU